AGCGGAGAAGACGACGCUCCAAUCACAUCUCACCCUCGUCCUCGGACGCGUGAUUGAUUGGAGUCGCGGCCAAUCUCAAGCGAAACCAACAAAAGAGUUCUUUGUAGAGUAAAUAUUUCAGUUUUGUUUGUAGAGAGAGUAACCUUAACCUCCUAACAAGAAGGUGUGUAAAAUUAUCAAGAUUUGUUUUCUAGAAAGAUGGACAGAAGAGUUCAUAUUUGGUAUGUAUAAUGUAUAUGAUGAAUAUAAUCAACUUAUGGAGACGAUGAUGAUGACUCAACACUUGAAAAAGGAUUAUCCUCUACCAUUUGACUAAAAUGAUAGUUGGAAGCAGUCGACAUCAGUGCGAAUGGUUAUAUUGGCACUACAACAACAUUUACUGCGGACUUUCAAUUCGAUGACGAUCGAAUAUUUAUUACUACACCUCACCGUUUUUUAUUUAUAAAAUAUAAAAUAUAAAAUAUAUAUAAUAUAAAUGUUUUUUUUUAAUUUAAAUUCUCCGAAUCUCCUACUAACUAUUGAUUUAAGCAUCAAAAAGAAUAUUUUUGGGACAUAUAUAUAUAUAUAUAUAUAUAUAUAUAUAUAUAUAUCCAACAUAUUUCUUACAAAUUCCUCCCCUUUCAAUACUCAUCCUUAUGGGCAAGCUUGAAAAUUAAAAUUCCUCACGAAUCAUACAAUCAUAAUCCAAUUUUAAAACAUCUUUUGCCCGUUGUUCCUUUACGCACUCUCUCCAUGGUGAUGCACCGACCACAUCUCAGCCUUGGCAUCUAACCUCUUUACGUUAAAUCUACACCAAUGAAUGAAUGAAUGAAUGAAUUGCCGUCGGCCGCCUCACCACCUUUCAACCCCUAAUACUUCACCUACACCGUCCCAUUCCGCUUCUGCACUCCGUCAAAUUUUUCUCUGCCAGCAUGUGCCACUGCUUCAUCUCCCUACCAUAUAUAUACCAGCUAUCAGUUGCACCCUCUCUCUCUCUCUCUCUCUCUCUCUGCCCCGUCCCUACUUACCAAACCCCAUAAUCCAAUAUUCAAGAGCGAUGGGGAAGAACGGCCUUCAGAAAUCUCUCCAAACCUAUCUGUCCAAGCUCAACAAGGUUCCGUCUCAUCUACACACUCCGAAUUCCCCAAAACCGGCCGCCGCCAGUUGGCUGCUGUCGGCGUGCAAGUAUCCCAGGACCCCUUCCUUCGCCGUCGACCGCGACCUCCCCGACCACAGCGCCCGCGAUCCCUCCGCCACCCUAUCCGACGACGACUGCUUCCAAUACGAGAAGUUCCACUCCCUCUACUCGCGCGAGGACGCGGGUGACGACUUCACCUCCGAGUCGCUGAGGUACGACGAGGACCCGGCCCCCACCGCGUUCCGCCCGACGGAGCGCUUCUUCGUAUCACCCGCCACGUCCAACUCCCUUCUCCGAGAUCCUAGACCAAGCGCCGCCGCCUCGUCUUCCUCGCCGUCGUGCUCCUUCUCCUCCUGUACGUCGGAUCCCAGGCCGGCGGUCCCGGGCGGCGGGGUGGCGGUAAUGACGUACUCCAAGGACCCCUACGACGACUUCCGGCGGUCCAUGCAGGACAUGGUGGAGGCGCGGCACCUGGACCCCAACCGGGCGUCGGACUGGGAUUUCAUGGAGGAGCUCCUCUUCUGCUACCUGGAACUCAACGACCGAAACGUGCACAAGGACAUCCUGAGGGCCUUCACUGAUGUCAUCGUCAGCGUCCGCCGGCGGGACAUGGCGUUGCGUCGAAGAGCACCGGGGGGGUAACAAGGGGAGGAGGAAUAGUAGAUCAGGCGAGGGGAUGGCGCCACGUUAUUCUCCGGCAGUCGGUUGAUGCACAUGGGAAUUAAUACGUCAGAGAGAGGAUGGCCUUAAACGGCGGCGUAGAAAAUGGUGAAGCCAUAAAUUUCCGGCGGUAGAUAGAAUAUGUUAUCAUCAACCGCGGGUUGCCUAAGCUUCAGACCGUGGAGGAGGGGGACAUUGCAACGCAACUUACGUGAGGCUCACAUGCAAAAGUAAGAUGUAUACCUUUUGUCCUGCGUUUAUUAUGGUCACAAAGGAGUUGGUGGGGGCGGCUUCUGGGAUUUGAUUUGAGAAGCGAGCUCGAGUCUUUCCGAGGAGGGGAGGGGAGGGGAAGGGGGGUGGAGGUCACGUCAUGCAUGAUGGUCAUUAACUUGGUGUGCGGAGACAUUUCGACGUUUCAUCCCCGGAGGCAUCCCUUUUGCAAAUUGAAGAUGCUCCACCCCAAAGGUUGAUGGGAGAUGGCCAAAGAGAGUAAAAGGGUGGGGGCGAGGAGAGAAAGGGGAAAAUGGGAGCUUUGAGUCGAUCAACGGAAGCGAAAUGAUCGAUGGAAGUUAAAUGGAAGACGAACACCGAAAACAACCGGCGCGAGUAAGGGGCAAGCCAAGCCAAGCCAAGCCGGGGACACGAACAGGGUAUUUGGUGUUUGGUGCAAGAGUUAAUUAAGUGUGUGUGUAUUCUAUUCAUUCCGAGAAAUAUGAAAAGUUGAGGGCAAAACAUAAAUAAAAUCAAUCAAUCCAAUAUCAUCGAUGGUAGUCAUAUUGUGUUGUGUUGUGUU
rnacentral:lncRNA from 1 species